GCCUGGGUGGCUCAGUGGUUGAGCAUCUGCCUUCAACUCAGGGCAGAAUCCUGUUUCCUGGGAUCUAGUCCCACAUCAGGCU
rnacentral:tRNA from 1 species